UCAGGGCGGUACAACAAUCUCCAGUGAACCCUGCAGUGGCUCUGCAGUGAACCAGACUGGGGAACUGAACCUGAAAUGGAUAGACUCAUUCAGGAAGAAAAAGUGGAACUUUUUAUUCACUAGUGGGACCAAACUUGCUUAAUGCUUGCCAAACCUUCACCAAGCAAAAAAUUGCCAACAGUGAUUGGAGUUACAAUGAACAUUGAAGACUGCCUGCAGAGAAACCACUUACUCAAAUUGCUCCUUGUGGAGGGAAGGCAGAGUUUUAGAAAUGAAGCUUGGAAAGCUAAGCGACAGAUUCUGCCUUCUUUUUUAUGUGGAGAAGGUUAAUUGACUUUGUUGCCAGUUCUGUCAA